rnacentral:piRNA from 1 species
GCUUCCUGGGCAGAGCAUAUGUGGAGU